CAGCAGCCGCGGGAAUACGAAGGGGGCUAGCGUUGUUCGGAAUUACUGGGCGUAAAGGGCGCGUAGGCGGCCAUUCAAGUUAGAUGUGAAAGCCCUGGGCUCAACCUAGGGAUUGCCUUUAAGACUGCCGAGCUAGUAGGUGAGAGAGGUGAGUGGAAUUCCGAGUGUAGAGGUGAAAUUCGUAGAUAUUCGGAAGAACACCAGUGGCGAAGGCGGCUCACUGGCUCAUUCUAGACGCUGAGGUGCGAAAGCGUGGGGAGCAAACAGGAUUAGAUACCCCAGUAGUCCCUGUCUCUUAUAC
rnacentral:rRNA from 1 species